rnacentral:tRNA from 1 species
GGGCGAGUCGUAUAACCUGGAUAGUACACAGCCCCGCGAAUAAUAAAGCAGAAAGGCUGUAAUCGGGGUUCAAAUCCCCGCUUGCCCG